UUAUCCUACGGGAGGCAGCAGUGGGGAAUUUUGGACAAUGGGCGCAAGCCUGAUCCAGCUAUUCCGCGUGUGGGAUGACGGCCCUCGGGCUGUAAACCACUUUAGUAGAGAACGAAAAGGAGCUAUCGAAUAAAUAGCUCUGCCGACGGUACUCUAAGAAUAAGCACCGGCUAACUACGUGCCAGCAGCCGCGGUAAUACGUAGGGUGCGAGCGUUAAUCGGAAUUACUGGGCGUAAAGGGAGUGCAGGCGGCUGAGUAAGACAGAUGUGAAAUCCCCGGGCUUAACCUGGGAACUGCAUAUGAG
rnacentral:rRNA from 1 species